rnacentral:rRNA from 1 species
CAAAGGAAUUGACGGGGCCGCACAAGCGGUGGAGCAUGUGGUUAAUCGAUGAUACGCGAGGAACCUUACCAGGGCUUAAAUGUAGGUUGCAUUAGACAGAGAUGUUUAUUUCUUCGGACUACUUACAAGGUGCUGCAUGGUUGUCGUCAGCUCGUGCCGUGAGGUGUCAGGUUAAGUCCUAUAACGAGCGCAACCCCUGUCGUUAGUUGUCCAGCAUGUAAAGAUGGGGACUCUAACGAGACUGCCGGUGCAAACCGCGAGGAAGGUGGGGAUGACGUCAAAUCAUCACGGCCCUUACGUCCUGGGCUACACACGUGCUACAAUGGUAUGGACAGAGAGCAGCCACUGGGCGACCAGGAGCGAAUCUACAAACCAUAUCACAGUUCGGAUCGGAGUCUGCAACUCGACUCCGUGAAGUUGGAAUCGCUAGUAAUCGCGGAUCAGCACGCCGCGGUGAAUACGUUCCCGGGUCUU